UAUAAAGUUUUCUGUCCAUUUUUUUUAUAUUGUGUUGCACCAGGACUUGCAAACCACGUUUUUGUGAAAUGUCCUACUAAAUUGAAGUGGGGAAAUUGAAAGUUUGCUUGUAAAAGACGGGAAAAAUACACAGAAUAGAUUGUAAACACAGCAUACAUUACUUUUUAUUUUGUAUUUUUCUUGUCAGCUGCUAAAUGUCACGCGCCUUGAGUCAGCCCGCGUGACACUUUGGUUUAUGUUCACUUUUAUGCCUUAGUUCCGGUUUUGUGCUCUUAUUUUGGUAGAUUUUACCGUUUUGCCUGCUUUCUUUGCCUUUUCCUUUAUCAGUCGCACCUGUUGCUAGUUUGUCCUUCUAUUUAGUUCAGGUGCGUGCUUCUUAGCUUGUCGUCGCAUUGUUUGACUGAGCGUUACACGCUACUGCAAGCCUGUCAUUACCGGAUCCCUGUCACUGCGCUGCAGCUAUCUCUGCCUUCUGGGAUCGCCACCACACCACAAUGCCAAGACGUGAUACUAAAAUUCGCAUCUUACAAGUUGGACUGGAAAACACUGAUAAAACAUUUCCAAGUGGAGACGGAUCCAAGGUUGUUUUUUUUUUGGUGUCGACAAGAGAGAGGCCCAUGUGGGAUUCAGCCAAACGGAACAAGGUCCCAUCACGUUUGUUUUGGUUGGCGCCCGUCUCCUGUCACACUGGAUGCAACAAACAAGGUCAGGAUGUGUGGCAGAUUGGCGGCCUCUACAGGAUUCUCGCGCCCCCAUGCUGCUCAGACGUCCACCAUCCAACAUCCACCAUAGUCUGCCCAGGGUGUCAUUCAAGCCAGAGCCUGGUGUGGCCAAGGUGAGACCAUUACUCACAUAGGG